rnacentral:rRNA from 1 species
UGGGGAAUAUUGCACAAUGGGGGAAACCCUGAUGCAGCGACGCCGCGUGAGUGAAGAAGUAUUUCGGUAUGUAAAGCUCUAUCAUCAGGGAAGAAAUUGACGGUACCUGACUAAGAAGCCCCGGCUAACUACGUGCCAGCAGCCGCGGUAAUACGUAGGGGGCAAGCGUUAUCCGGAUUUACUGGGUGUAAAGGGAGCGUAGACGGUAGUGCAAGUCUGAAGUGAAAGCUCGUGGCUUAACCAUGGAACUGCUUUGGAAACUGUACAACUAGAGUACCGGAGGGGUAAGCGGAAUUCCUAGUGUAGCGGUGAAAUGCGUAGAUAUUAGGAAGAACACCGGUGGCGAAGGCGGCUUACUGGACGGUAACUGACGUUGAGGCUCGAAAGCGUGGGGAGCAAACAGGAUUAGAUACCCUGGUA